AGGAGCCGGAUGAGGCGAAAGUCUCACGUCCGGUUCUGAAGCCGAGUCGGAGUGGCGACACUCCGGCUUAGGGUAACAGCACCACGCGGUCGAGCCGGU
rfam:Fimbriiglobus ruber strain SP5 contig09, whole genome shotgun sequence.